CUCGUAGGUGGCCAACUAAGUCAGACGUGAAAUCCCUCGGCUUAAUCGGGGAACUGCGUGUGAUACUGGAUGGCUUGAGUUUGGGAGAGGGAUGCGGAAUUCCAGGUGUAGCGGUGAAAUGCGUAGAUAUCUGGAGGAACACCGGUGGCGAAGGCGGCAUCCUGGACCAAUACUGACGCUGAGGAGCGAAAGCCAGGGAGCAAACG
rnacentral:rRNA from 1 species